GGGGUGCUACUGUUGUGGGAGGAUGGCACUUUUAUUCUAUAUUGGUUAUUAGUCAAAAGAAACUCUACCUUAUAUGAAAAGAGGCAUUCUCUCCUCUAAGCGAGGCAUCUUUUACAUAGGAUAAAAUCCUAUGACAACUAAUAUAGAUCAAAGCAGAUAAUAUCUUGUGCACGUGGGCAUGAGACCUAUCCAUCCAAUUCAUUCGAGCCAUCC
rnacentral:lncRNA from 1 species